CGCCCGCUCGCUCGAGCUCGGCGCGGACCCGCCCGGGAGCGCUCCUCGCAGCAGCUGCCCGGGUUCCCACCGCCCUACCGGGCGCGAGCGAUCAGACUACCUCGGAGGGCGCGCUCAGACACCCAGAUGUCCGGCCACCUCAGUGGGUACCCUCGGCACCCUGUGAUCCGACCACCCGCGGAGGCGCGCUAGCCCUCUGGGUGGGCGUGCUGGGCUUCUCUGCGGCGGAAGUCUGGACCACAGAUUGUGACUUCUUUUCUAGCAGUAGGUGUUGACUGGUCCGACUGCUGCCCUUCUGCCCAAGAGUAGUUCAAACUGGCCUCUAACUGAACCUGGAACUCACUGACUGAACUCGAGUUGCUGUUGAGAAAGCCCCAGGAACUGUUUGGUCUUCUCCCCCUCAAAAUUUGCGAUGCAGUGCCUCCUCAGGCCCAUCAAAGUCUUCCAGGAUCACGCAGAGGACCAUGCCACAGUCGGAAGUGAGGUAAACAAGUCUCCUUAUUGCUAUAUUUUAUAAUUAUCAGACAAGAGAGUGGAGUUCCCGCCUGAAGACCCUCAGGCCUGUGUGAAGCUUAACCAUGUAUGUACUCAAUGUAGGUGUGAUCAGUUUUCAGAUCCAUGCAAAUGUGAGCUGACUUUCCCCUGAUGUUUGCUGAGUGCAUGCCAACAGCAUUCUGCAUGGCUAACCUGCCUCAGCAACCAACUCCCUGGAACUGUCAUAUGCAGAGGCUCUGUGCUGUGGCCAUUUUAUAAAUGAGCCACGGGAAGGCCAGAGAAAGAAACAGCAUGCUCCAAGUCAGAGCAGAAGGCAGCUUCCCUAGGAUCUGUUUAAUGUUUGCUUCUUUACAACACAGGAUCUCGUGAAACCCAAGCUAGCCUCAGACUCAACUACAUAGCUGAGGAUACCCUUGAACUUGAUUCUCUAAUAUUUCUACCUCAUACCCAGUUCAUGAGUUAAUGUGGAUAGAACCCAGGGCUUCCUGAAUACUAGGAAGGCACUCUACCAACUGAGCUACAUCCCCAGAUCCUCCUCUGGGGAUAAGCCCAGGUUCAAAUCCAAGACCUUAACAACACCGGGACACAGACAUAAGACACAGCACUCUAUGGGACCUGGGCAUGCUCCUACCCUGUCUAGUGAUCGCAAAAGCCAUCUUUUAAACAGCCCACGUUAUGAUUCUACCAUCAGACCAGAGAGGCCCUAGAUAGCCCAGCUUCCCAUUGUAAGUCAUCUUCGACAUGUUUAACCGAUGGCUGUGUGGGACUGCUAGAAAGUUUGGAAAUCACCAAACGCUUUGACUUUCCUGCCCACAAAAACAGUUGGCCUUGGCAGAUGUCCAACGUGUUGACCUUAGAUCCAUUUAAUGAAAACCCUAUUAAUUCAAAAAGAAAGAAAGAAAAUAAGGCAAAAUAGGACAGGCAGUAGAAAGAUCUUUACAAAAAUCUUGUGUGCCCUUCCUCCACUGUUGCCUUGACCAGACAGGGCCACAAAGCUGAUACGACAGGAUUAGGACAAUUGCUUUGUUAACACACAAGCACAGCGUGACAUGAACUCCAGGAAAGGCAUUUGGCAGGAUUAACCUGCUGAGGAUAAAGAUGUAGCAGACGGGACCUGAAUUAAUGGACUGGUAUGGCCAAAGUGGAGAAAUCUAUUUGCAUGUAAUAUUAACUGUACUAAUAAACUCCAGGCGGGGAUCCAACAGCCCGGGAGCCUCUUUGAACCAGGACUUGAUCCCUGCACAUCCUAUCUCGUGUGAGUGUAAGCCGGCUGCCUGCAGAUUACCACUCUGUCCUUGGUGCCUGCAAUAGCACAGGCCCUUUACUGACUCCAACUCAAGCAGAUCCCACUUACAAUAUUAUUUACAACCUAUGGAAAAGCAAUGAAGAAAUGCAGGUUCAACACAUGUAGAAAAUAUCCACCAGGGCCUGGAGAGAUGGCUCAGUAAUUAAGAGCCCUGGCUAUUCCUCCAGAGGACCCGGGUUCAAUUUGUAGCAUCCACGAGGCAGCUAAGAGUCAUCUAAAGCCCCAUUUGAAGCCCUCUUCUGACAUCUGCAGGCAUGGUGCAUACAUGGUACAUACACACACAUGC
ensembl:lincRNA 9530059O14Rik RIKEN cDNA 9530059O14 gene